AUUGAACGCUGGCGGCAGGCCUAACACAUGCAAGUCGAGCGAGCGGCGGACGGGUGAGUAAUGUAUGGGGACUGCCCGAUAGAGGGGGAUAACUACUGGAAACGGUAGCUAAUACCGCAUACUAUCGGAUAACCCAUAUGGGAUUAGCUAGUAAGUGAGGUAUGGGCUCACCUAGGCGACGAUCCCUAGCUGGUCUGAGAGGAUGAUCAGCCACACGGGAAAUGAGACACGGCCCAGACUCCGACGGCGGCAGAAGUGGGGAAUAUUGCACAAGUGGAGCAGACCGGAUGCAGCCAUGACGCGUGUAUGAAGAAGGCCCUAGGGUUGUAAAGUACUUUCAGUCGGGAGGCGUUACCGACAGAAGAAGCACCGGCUAACUCCGUGCCAGCAGCCGCGGUAAUUC
rnacentral:rRNA from 1 species